AACUUAUUUAAUUUGUGUUUUAUUUGUUCACUAAAUAACCCAAAAUGAAUAACUCAGACGAAAUACGUGUUUUUGUUGAAUUUUAUAAAUGUAUGCCGAAACUAUGGAAUUGUAAAAAU